rnacentral:pre_miRNA from 1 species
AAUGAUCCUACAGGGGCGACCUGAGAACACACGUUGAAACACUUUUUUCACGUGGCUUUUUAAAAGUCAAGAAACGAUGAAAUUGUGAUAUACACGUGUUCUCAUAUCGACCCUGUUGGACCCUU